CUCACACCGCCCUGGGAGGAAUGAGAAACGCGAAAAGAUUUCCGGAAAAGGAGGGGCCACAGAGCAAACUUCACCCUCCGGGAGAGGGGAACUCCGCUCUUGAGACAUAGAGGGAAAGAGCGAGAGUAUGUUCCGGACGCUGCCUGACCUACUGAGUUCCUCCUCCACCAUCUACCAUCACUACUGAUUCCAGUCUUACCUGACAACACCCAGCUCAGUGAUUCCUCAUUUGGUGGUCUCCUUUGCCAUCUUCUGGACAAGGUUAUUCUGCCAGCACCAGAUGCUGCCUGACCUAUUGAAAACCUCCUCCACCAUCUACCUUCACUGCUGAUUCCAGUCCGCCUGGCAACGGCCAGCACAGCAAUUUCUCACUUGGUGGUCUCCAUCUCCACCUCCCGGACAACAUUAUCCCUGCAGCACCAGGCAUGGUGUGCACAGGGUGAGACUCACAAAGAGAGAAUCAGUAAAUCACACUCCCACAAUGUUUGUGUUUCGGAGUGCUGAGUUAAUAUUUCGUCUGGCAGGGGAUCAAGAUCCAGGACUCACUGUGUCAAAAGGAAAGCUGAGUCAUUCAGGACAGAGUAGAGAAGGAAUCUCUUCAGCUGGGACUGUGCAGGAUCGGUCCUGGAGAACAUUCAAACAGGGAAUGGUCGACUGCAGGGCUAUGGGGUGAAUGUGAGGAUGUAUUGCCGAGGAAGGAGAUAAGAAUUGUGAUGUCAUGUUACAGGUGUACAGGUCACUGCUGUCAUCACACUGCAUGUUCUGCAUGCACUUUGGUUGCCUGGCGAUAGGUGCCACAUAAAGACAACACAAAUAUCUCUGCAAGGAAUUCUGUAGUUUCUUCCAACAGGAUCUGAGACUGCACUUGGGCAGGACUGGGG